UCUUUCCCCCUUGUGGGGCUGGUGUACAGGUGGUGCAUGGUUGUCGUCAGCUCGUGUCGUGAGAUGUUGGGUUAAGUCCCGCAACGAGCGCAACCCUCGUUCUAUGUUGCCAGCACGUGAUGGUGGGGACUCAUAGGAGACUGCCGGGGUCAACUCGGAGGAAGGUGAGGAUGACGUCAAAUCAUCAUGCCCCUUAUGUCUUGGGCUUCACGCAUGCUACAAUGGCCAGUACAAUGGGUUGCGAUGCCGCGAGGUGGAGCUAAUCCCAAAAAGCUGGUCUCAGUUCGGAUCGUGGUCUGCAACUCGACCACGUGAAGUCGGAGUCGCUAGUAAUCGCAGAUCAGCAACGCUGCGGUGAAUACGUUCCCGGGCCUUGUACACACCGCCCGUCAAGUCACGAAAGUUGGUAACACCCGAAGCCGGUGGCCUAACCCUUGUGGGGG
rnacentral:rRNA from 1 species